AUGGGAAAGAAACCUGGAAAGUACCCUUGGCUGUGUACAUUUGAGUAAAGAGAGCACUAUAAAAUCAAAAACCAAUGAAAUGGUUUCCAGAACACAGAACUAUUAAGCUUAAGAAAAGGACAGAAGGAACUGAAGAGAGAGGAACUGUUUUGGAGCAUCACACUUCCACCUCAGAAGAAAUAAGGAAGGAAGGAGGAGGGUGUUCCCACGGCUCUUCAACCAGGCCGGCUCUUCAGCCUACAUCCCCAUCUCAUCAAGUAAAAGGGAUUUUUCAACUGGACCAACCAGAUGGUUUAACAGUGCACUCCCACACCAUUCAACUACGCAAGGGAGAUACACUUAACAUAUGCAGUCGUAUAACACCUACUAACAUUUUCAAACAUUAAACCUUUAAAAAAGAGUUCUAAAGAAAUAGAAGCUUGAAGUAUCAUCUCUCAAGUAUAUAGACACUACUUCAUGGUGUGGUAAUAUAUGCAUAUAGAAGCUAGUAAACACCUCCAGGAGAUGCAAAAGGAAUUAGAACUGCCACAAGGUGCAAGCAAAACCUUGAGUCUCCAUUGAUGGUGAAGUAUUUUCACUAUUUGGCAUGUCUUCUCUAGUACCUAGAGCAGUGCGUUGCAUGCAGUAGCAGGUUUAUAAACAUUUGCGAGUAAAACAUCCAACCUGAUACUCAAGGUAAUCAAUCUGCAUCCCAUUUUGGAUGAGAAUAUUUGCAACUUUGAAGGUUAUUUUAAGGACAGCAGCAGAAGAAUUAUGGCAGCUUCUUUAAAAUAUGAAGACUUCGAAGUUAUUUAUCCAAACCAACCUGAUCAUUUCUUAAGAGUGAAUAUACCUUGGAAGACGUGUCCUGCCUUUAGUAGCGUCACAAUGGAUUACAUCCUCUAUAAAGCAGUCUGGGGUGAGAAAAUCGAAUUUGGACACCGUUGAGGAGACUAUUGCAGUCAUCCAAGCUCAAGAUGGUGGAGCUUCAUCCUUGAGAAUAACCAAUGGGGAUAGAUUUAAGAGACACUUAGAGUCUGCAGCCAACAGGGCUGAAUGAGCAGAGAGUUAUGAUUCAGAAGAUCAUCUAAAAUUGAACAGCUGCCACUACUGGCAAUAAGUCUACUGCCAUUUGGUAGAUAACCUUCUUAUCACACAGAAAAAUAUCAGUACAGACAAAUAGACCGCAAAGAAAAUGAGACCAUCAGCAAAGAAGAUAAAGAAGUUUGUACAAAGCAACUUUUUAUAAAUGGAUGGCUGUCAGGCAAAAAUAAAUUUCCUGUGGACAAGACCAAGAGCAAGGCAAGAGGAAAAUAAACAUGUUUAAAC
rnacentral:lncRNA from 1 species